rnacentral:lncRNA from 1 species
GUGCUCAACCCUAAGAUCGGUCUUUGCAUCUGCACAUGCAAGGUGUUGUCCGUUUUGGCUCGUAUCAUGUGCUGCAAGAUUUUAUCCUGUGUAAAAGACAUCUCAUUGGGGGGAGAGAAUAUCCCACUCUCAUAUAAACCAUAGUUUUUUUUGACUCAUAACAGAUGUAAUGUUGCGAUCAAGAGCUCGGAUGGCUCGAAUGGAUCGGUCUCUAUGUCCAUAUGCACGAAAUAUUAU